rnacentral:rRNA from 1 species
AGUGAACGCUGGCGGUAGGCCUAACACAUGCAAGUCGAACGGCAGCACAGUAAGAGCUUGCUCUUACGGGUGGCGAGUGGCGGACGGGUGAGGAAUACAUCGGAAUCUACUUUUUCGUGGGGGAUAACGUAGGGAAACUUACGCUAAUACCGCAUACGACCUACGGGUGAAAGCAGGGGAUCUUCGGACCUUGCGCGAUUGAAUGAGCCGAUGUCGGAUUAGCUAGUUGGCGGGGUAAAGGCCCACCAAGGCGACGAUCCGUAGCUGGUCUGAGAGGAUGAUCGGCCACACUGGAACUGAGACACGGUCCAGACUCCUACGGGAGGCAGCAGUGGGGAAUAUUGGGCAAUGGGCGCAAGCCUGAUCCAGCCAUGCCGCGUGGGUGAAGAAGGCCUUCGGGUUGUAAAGCCCUGUUGUUGGGAAAGAAAAGCAGCAGGUUAAUACCCCGCUGUUCUGACGGUACCCAAAGAAUAAGCACCGGCUAACUUCGUG